UACAUGGAGAGUUUGAUCCUGGCUCAGGACGAACGCUGGCGGCGUGCCUAACACAUGCAAGUCGAACGAGAUCUAUCCGGUAGCUUCGGCUAACGGGUAAACCUAGUGGCGAACGGGUGAGUAACACGUGGGCAACCUGCCCCAGAGACCGGGAUAACACGGGGAAACCCGUGCUAAUAGCGGAUAUCCUACCUUUCUCGCAUGGCAUCGGUAGAAAAAGGUUGAUUUAUC
rnacentral:rRNA from 1 species